CGCGUAGGCGGUUGUGUAAGUCAGAUGUGAAAUCCUCCGGCUCAACUGGAGAACUGCAUUUGAUACUGCAUGACUCGAGUAUUGGAGAGGGAAACGGAAUUCCCGGUGUAGAGGUGAAAUUCGUAGAUAUCGGGAGGAACACCGGUGGCGAAGGCGGUUUCCUGGCCAAAUACUGACGCUGAGGCGCGAAAGCGUGGGUAGCAAACAGGAUUAGAUACCCUGGUAGUCCACGCCGUAAACGGUGAGUGCUGGGUGUGGGAGGUGUAAUGCCUUCUGUGCCGAAGCUAACGCGUUAAGCACUCCGCCUGGGGAGUACGGCCGCAAGGUUGAA
rnacentral:rRNA from 1 species